UCCCUCUCAGGGUUGCAACUGGAGAGUUUCCAGUACUCCACCUGUCUCGGCUACGGGAGGGAGAGUCAAGCAGAGGCAUAACCGUUCCAUUCUUAGCUUGGGCAGUGGCUAGCGAGUGGAAGGCAAUCGGCUACAAGU